CUGAGGAAGUGAUCCGUUGCUGUUUUUGCUAUUUUUGGGGAUUCUUAUUGGCUUACGUGGGCUUGAGCUUCUCGUUACACUGCCCCCUACAGGUAUGUGCUAGCUGC